rnacentral:lncRNA from 1 species
CUGGGCUCCUUCCUUUUCUUCCAUAUUAUGUGAUCCUAUUCUAUUAGAAAUCACAUUUCACAGUGUCUCUUGGAGAGCAUAGCAUGGUGCUGGGGAAUGGUGGUUUGGCACACUAUUUUCCCACUAUAACACCACCCCCACCACCCAGCCUAUGUUCAUAUUGUAAAGAGAAAUGUACUUUCUUGGAAUUUAGGAUAAACAGGAAGUAAAUGAGCAUAACUGGUCCUUUCAUUCUUGCCUGACAGCUCCGUAUCUUGUGCCACAUUAAAUGUGAAGAGAAGAAAGUGCUGUAAUAUUGUAUAUCCCUUAGCAAAGACAAAAUAUAUUGCCAGCUGAUGUGUACCCAAGAAGAACCAAACCAUCUGGCACCUCAGUCAGAGUUGUUGCUGAAAUGUGCAUUUCCUGGCUCAAAAAUGCAAAUAUUGGAUGGCUCAUGAUCAGGAUUGGCUCAAGACACUUUGCUGCCUGAGACAAAGGAUAAGACAGAGCCCUCCCCCAAGGCUCAUACAGAAGCCAGUUGGAUUGGCAGUUGAAUCUUACUUCAAUACUGGUGAAAAGAAAGUAUAGUGGUACCUUGGUUCUCAAACUUAAUCCGUUCUGGGAUUCCAUUUGACUCCUGAAACCAUUCAAGAACCAAGGCGCGGCUUCCAAUUGGCUGCAGGAGCUUCCUGCACUCAAUUGGAAGCCGUGUUGGAUGUUUGGCUUCUGAAAAACGUUCACAAAGCAGAACACUCACUUCCGGAUUUGCGGCAUUCAGAAGCUGAACUGUUCGACAACUAAGCCGUUCAAGAACCAAGGUUCCACUGUAUCUUCCACUGCCCUUGAGGGCAGCAGUCUAGCAAGGAGGCACAGGGCAAGCCACAUGGCACUCACAGCUCUGUCCCCACCCCCCAACAUCUACCGCCUGGGACAGCUGCCUCACUCUGUCUCAUCAUAGGGCCAGCCUUGCUUAGGGUGGUUGCCUCAAAUACACAGUGAAUAUUAUGGUCCACAAAGUCCUUCUCUGACUUGAAGAGAAACUUAAGCCAUGUCUGCUGCCAUGCGCCUCAGCAGAAGGGUGGGAUAAAGCCCACAUUCAGUAUUCGGUCCUCACUAAGCAUGCUCAGUUCUCAUUGGUCUGUUCUGAGCUCCCCCCUUGGGGAUAUUUUCCUUUCCUUUCUUUUUGGGGUAGUUCUGCUGAUCUUGAGGUUCACCUGAGCUUGCUGGUUCCUCCCUCUUGUGGUGCUUGGCUACAUUCAGUGCCUCAGCACCAGAAAUAGAGAGGGUGAGAUUUCAGUUUGGCAAUACAUCAAUAUAUAGAGAAGGAGAUAGGGUGACAGGUCUUCAAGUACAAACCCAUAAUUGUCAGAAAUAAUAAGCUACAGAUUGAGAGAGAAAAAGAUUACUGGAGUCCUGUGAAAGUAACAGCAGAAUGAGAGGAGGUGGAGAAAUGAAAGUAGAUUACAGAAUUAAUCCGAAUUUCCACACACACACACACAUGUUUAGUGUGUGGGUACUUGGUCCAUAUGGCCAAUCUUGUUUUGGCUACAUGUAUCUCUUUCCUAGAAGCUCACAGCAUUGUUUCUGGGACUUUUGUACAGUCACUAUACUCCACCAUGAUGAGCGUCAUUUGGUCAAACUGAGGAUGAGCAAAUCCAGAAUUUUUUGUUUCUCUGUUUCUCAUUUGUCCAAUCUUAAUAUUGGUUCUCCACAUUUCCAUGUCAGUUUGCAAAUAUUUGGGUUUUCUUAAGUCCUCAAUGAAAAUUCAUUUUGUCUUAUAUACAUUUUUGCAAAGCAAUUUCCCCGAAUCUAUUGCAUGUUUCUAUGUUAUUUUCUUGAUCAAGGGCAUUGUGAAGAAGAUUUUGUUAUCUCCCAGAUGUGAACCUUGAGGGUGGUCCAGCAACACUUCUUGGCCUGCAUGCCAGCUCCCUUGCACAGCACAGCUUAAGUGUUGAAAGGAUCAAGUUGCCCACGGCUGAUGGCAAUAAAACACUCAUGGAAGCAGUGAAGCUCAGUCAGGCAUUGUUUACUUGAAAGGUAGUAUCAGUCUUGAUGGUAGAAAACUAUUUACUACCACACAGAUAGUAAGGCGCCCUUCAAUCCUACAUGCUGCCUGCACACAGCUCAGCAGUCUCUCGCCUGUAGGAAUCGCGCAAGGCCAUAGCUAAGUGCUCCACACUUACUGCUGCUGUAGACUAAACAAUCUUGCAUGAUGCUUCAAGAAUCUUCUCACAGUUUCUGGAGACGAAUGGUUCUUUCUCACUUUAACACAUUGCUAUGAAUGCUUUACCCUGGUAUAUGCAUGUUUGUACAAAUUACGUAGUUGGAAAACUGCAUUACAAAAUUUGGGAAAGUGCACAUUUUGAAGAGGGGCUGCAUUUGAGUUCAUGCUAUUGUUUCAGAAAGUACAAGUUAGGUAAGUUUGCAUUCAAAUAGGAACUGAAUGGACUUUCUCCACCAGCGCUAGUUCAAACACCCCCAUUGAAGCAAAUGGGUGUAAAUGAUGUGUGGAAGCUGCUUAAUUCCAAUCUCCUAUCUACCCAUUUCAUCCGCACAAUGCGUUUUUUACACACUUCUAUCAAGCACAGGAGAUAAUCUCACUCUGCUAAACAACUGCUUCAUAGAUAACACACCCACCUCCUAAAAUUCCCUUUAUGCAGGGGUGCAAGAGGUGAGAGAGGAGAGAAGUGGUGGGCAGGAAUAUAUUACUAUUUGCAGCAAGUGUUAUUGUAAUGGUAUUGGAAAUACAUGAAAGGUCUGGAAUCUCAUACUUGUUGAGAAACUCAUGAAUAAAUUUAGGAUGGUGCAAGUUAUAAAAUAAAAGGACUCAUUUGCAGACGUAAAUAAAAGAGAGAAAAAGAGAAGCAGCACCCGUGUAGAAGGGAAAGUAUAAAGGGGGGGUGACCCAAAACUGUAUACUUUACAAAGUUGUUAUUGUACUUCACCAGAUCUUAACCUCCUUCAGUAUUUGUAAGAAUGGAUUCCAAAUAUCACUGAAUUUGUCCACGACAAAUCUGCGUUCAUAUGUUGUGAGUUUGUAUAAGGCUUCAAUCUAAUCGUAGAAGGGGGCCACAUUUUUAUUUUCCCAAUUCAUCAGUCAUUUAUUUUCCCAAUUCAUCAGUCAUUUAUUUUCCCAAUUCAUCAGUCAUUUAUUUUCCCAAUUCAUCAGACCACAAUGUUGUGGUCAGGGCACGGAGAGUCCACGUAUCGUCAUAUAUGCCCAGCACAGGUUCCAUGUGCUAGGCAUAUCAUUCAAAAGGAUAUUUUGAUUUGUAAAUGUAAGGUAAAUGUACAGUUCUGUUGUUUCAGCUACCUUCUGCCAAAAAUCUUUCGAUAUAGGACAAUGAAAAAACCAAACGUUUUAGAGAAGCAUCAUCCAUGUUGCAUCUUAAACAGAUACCUUAGAUAGCCCUUUUAAAAAUGAACGUUAUGGGGUCCAGUAAUUCU